AAAUUGAAGAGUUUGAUCAUGGCUCAGAUUGAACGCUGGCGGCAGGCCUAACACAUGCAAGUCGAACGGUAACAGGAAACAGCUUGCUGUUUCGCUGAUGAGUGGCGGACGGGUGAGUAAUGUCUGGGAAACUGCCUGAUGGAGGGGGAUAACUACUGGAAACGGUAGCUAAUACCGCAUAACGUCGCAAGACCAAAGAGGGGGACC
rnacentral:rRNA from 1 species